rnacentral:rRNA from 1 species
GACGAACGCUGGCGGCGUGCUUAACACAUGCAAGUCGAACGGAAAGGCCCUGCUUUUGUGGGGUGCUCGAGUGGCGAACGGGUGAGUAACACGUGAGUAACCUGCCCUUGACUUUGGGAUAACUUCAGGAAACUGGGGCUAAUACCGGAUAGGAGCUCCUGCUGCAUGGUGGGGGUUGGAAAGUUUCGGCGGUUGGGGAUGGACUCGCGGCUUAUCAGCUUGUUGGUGGGGUAGUGGCUUACCAAGGCUUUGACGGGUAGCCGGCCUGAGAGGGUGACCGGCCACAUGGGAACUGGGAUACGGCCCAGACCCCUAGGGGGGGCAGCAGGGGGAAUAUUGCACAAUGGGCGGAAGCCUGAUGCAGCAACGCCGCGUGCGGGAUGACGGCCUUCGGGUUGUAAACCGCUUUCGCCUGUGACGAAGCGUGAGUGACGGUAAUGGGUAAAGAAGCACCGGCUAACUACGUG